rnacentral:misc_RNA from 1 species
AACGCACGAGACCUGCGGACCUGCGGAGGGAUCAUUAAAAAUAUAUAUCCGAGAAUUCGUUUCGUUUUCCGGAUUAUUUGUAUUCAAAUUCCACUCUUUUUAUAAAUUUAUAUCAAUUAUAUAAAACAAAAAUAAAAAAAAGAAAACUUUCAACAAUGGAUCUCU